AGCAGCCGCGGUAAUUCCAGCUCCAAUAGCGUAUAUUAAAGUUGUUGUGGUUAAAAAGCUCGUAGUUGAAUUUCGAGACCGGUCUACUGGUCGUGCUUUUGUACGUACUAGUAUAAUCGGUUUCUCUCUUCUGACGAACUAUAAUGCCAUUAAUUUGGUGUUUUAGGGAAUCAGGACUGUUACUUUGAAAAAAU
rnacentral:rRNA from 1 species